UACACUAAUUUUGUUUAAAUACAAAGUUUUACUGAAUAAAAAGUGGGAUAAAUAGAAUAAUAGAUAAGUGUUUUGUGUUUUCUAAGCCUGGCAUGAUAAACCAGAUCUAUAAUCAACACUAACCUAUUAUUAUCUAUAUUAAACAGGAAAUGAGUGUCGAUCAUUGGUGCUGCCCUUAAUUAAAUCACUAGUAAAAUUCUGAAACCUAACUACUGAUUUUCGUAUAUUAACAUUUCAGAUGGAUCACCAUGGGGAUGUAUUUUGAACUGUUACAUAUCCAGUUAAUACGAAUGGGUAGCAGAACAAAAACUUGAAUUUUAAAAGGAUGGAAUAAAGAAUUCCGAAAACAAACAAAACUUCAUUUUUGCGCUUGCUGGAGAAUUGGAGAGGAAUGGGUUCGAUUUUUACACGCUCAAGGGGAUGCUGAUGUGUUGAUAGUAAAAACUGCUUUACAAAUUGCAGAAACCGGCAAUGUUGUCAUCGUAGGCGAGGACACGGACUUGCUAGUAAUUGCCCUUUAUCACAUAAAGUCAAUUCAUAAAACAGUCGUCUUAAAGCCAGCAGCAAAUCAAACGACAUCAAAAGUUGUUCGGAUAUGGGAUAUUCAGAAGGCCAAACAAGUAUUGGGCGGACCAACCAGAACAUUGCCAGUUUUACAUGCACUAUCUGACUGUAAUACAACAUCCCAUAUUAUCAGUAUCAGCAAAGGCGCAGCUUUAAAAACUUUCCUUAACAAUGAAUAGGUAGUUAACCAUGCCUGCGAUUAUUUGUCGCACAGCAACAAGGAUGUUGUUAUUGUGAGUGUUGAACGAAUUCUGGUUGCAUUAUUUGGCGGAUUGUCCGUUGAGACACUGGAUUUGUUGAGGCUAAGGAUGUUUUCGCAAAAGGUCAUGUCGAGCACCAAACACGUCAAGAUAAAGUCAUUGCCUCCAACAUCUGCCGCCGCUAAAUACCACAGUAUGAGAACGUUUUUCCAAGUUCAUGAAUGGAUUGAAAAUGGAGAAAACCUUUCGCCUACUGAAUGGGGAUUCAAACUGAAAGACAAUAAGUUUAUGCCCCAGAAAACGGAUCGACCUGCUGCACCCAAGUAGCUACUGAAAAUGGUAAAAUGCAAACAACACUGUGACACAAAGAAAUGUCCAUGUAGGAAAAACGGCUUAUAGUGUUCUAUGGGAUGCUCAGGAUGUCGCGGAAUAAGCUGUACAAAUGAACAGAAGUUCAACGAAACCGACUCUGAUAUUGACUAAAACACAUGUUUAAUUAAUGAGACGCCAAUAGUACAAUGACAAAUUAGACUUCAAGAUUAACUAAGAAUUGAAACUGUCAUUAUAUCCAUUAUUGUUACUGCGACUUUUAAACAUGUUUUUACACCAUAUGCAGUUAUUUUAAAUUCAAAAAUGUACUUAUCAGUGUACGUAACAUAAUUUUAUUGAAAUUACUAUGUACAAAAUAAUCAAGUUUACAGAUUUUGUAAUAGUUACAUCGUUCAACUGCAUUACAUGAUAUUUGACCUUUUAAAAGUCAAGGUCAACCAUUGUGACCCAAGGUCAAUGCAUUAUUUAUAUAUCUUUAAACAUUAAGCAAAUGUGUAUAAACUUAUUUAAGAAAAUCUAUGUAUCUAAUACUGUCUACAUGUAUAUAGAAAAUUCACAUGAAUUGAAAUGAAAUUACUUUGUAUAAGACUACCACACCCACUCUUUAUAUAGAGAAACAACACAAAGUUUAAAUAAAUAUUUGUAUAAUUAUGAAAAUCCUGACGGAUAUAUUCUUAUCUCAUAUUUUAAACAAAUGUAUGUUUGUAAAAGUCUAUAGAUCUAUACAAGACAAUGAUUAAAUUGUUAUAUUCAACACUGCUCAAUAAAAGCUGUGUUAUCAUAUAGAAAUACCCCGCCCACUUUUCAAUUUUAUAUAUAACAAGAGCUGUCACCAUAGGAUAACGUAUGCCCCCUAUAAACGCUUUGAAAGAAGUUAUGAGCAUUUUUCGAAACCUAAACGCAGAUUUUGAAACCUAAACGCGGAUCCAAAGUUCAAGGUCAAGGUCACAGGGGUCAAAAUUUGUGUGCGUAUGGAAAGGCCUUGUCCAUAUACACAUGCAUGCCAAAUAUGAAGGAUAUAAUCUCAAGGGACAUAGCAGUUAUGAACAUUUUUCGAAAGGUUAAUGCAGAUUUUUAAACCUAAAUGCGGUCCCUAAGUUCAAGGUCAGGGUCUAAGGGGUCAAGAAAUGUAUGCGUAUAGAAAGUCCUUGUCCAAACACACAUGCAUACCAAAUAAGGCAAAUAUGAAGGUUAUAUCUCAAGGGACAUAGAAGUUAUGAGCAUUUUGAGAAACCUAAAUGCAGAUUCGAAACCUAAAUGCGGACCCUAAGUUCAAGGUCAAGUUCACAGGGGUCAACAUUUUUGUGCGUAUGGAAAGGCCUUGUCCAUAUACACAUGCAUAUCAAAUAUGAAGGUUAUAUCUCAAGGAACAUAGAAGUUAUGAGCAUUUUUCGAAACCUAAAUGCAAAGUGUGACGGAAAGACAGACAGACGGACGGUCCGAUCUCUAUAUGCCCUCCUUCGGGGGCAUAAAAAGGGGACAAAUAGUGUGUUAUAUAAGAUAAUAUAGUUUCUGUUACUUUUAUUGUCAUAGUAGAUUUAGAUAUAGCUAUGUUAACAUGGAUGUUUUAUGUAAAAAUGAUGGGGAAUGAAAUACAUAUGAAUUAUAAGGAGUUUCGAAGAAGAAAAAUGAAUACAUUCAUUAGUCU